UACAGAGGCCUCGAGCGUUAGGCGGAAUCAUUGGGCGUAAAGCGCGUGUAGGCGGUUCGGUAAGUCUGCUGUGAAAGUCCAGGGCUCAACCCUGGGAUGCCGGUGGAUACUGUCGGACUAGAGUACGGAAGAGGCGAGUGGAAUUCCCGGUGUAGCGGUGAAAUGCGCAGAUAUCGGGAGGAACACCAAUUGCGAAGGCAGCUCGCUGGGACGUUACUGACGCUGAGACGCGAAAGCGUGGGGAGCAAACAGG
rnacentral:rRNA from 1 species